GAUGAACGCUGGCGGCGUGCCUAAUACAUGCAAGUCGAGCGAACAGACGAGGAGCUUGCUCCUCUGACGUUAGCGGCGGACGGGUGAGUAACACGUGGAUAACCUACCUAUAAGACUGGGAUAACUUCGGGAAACCGGAGCUAAUACCGGAUAAUAUAUUGAACUGCAUGGUUCAAUAGUGAAAGACGGUUUUGCUGUCACUUAUAGAUGGAUCCGCGCCGCAUUAGCUAGUUGGUAAGGUAACGGCUUACCAAGGCAACGAUGCGUAGCCGACCUGAGAGGGUGAUCGGCCACACUGGAACUGAGACACGGUCCAGACUCCUACGGGAGGCAGCAGUAGGGAAUCUUCCGCAAUGGGCGAAAGCCUGACGGAGCAACGCCGCGUGAAUGAUGAAGGUCUUCGGAUCGUAAAACUCUGUUAUUAGGGAAGAACAAAUGUGUAAGUAACUAUGCACGUCUUGACGGUACCUAAUCAGAAAGCCACGGCUAACUACGUG
rnacentral:rRNA from 1 species